GGCCAUCAACUGCACAGGUUUUAACAGGCAUAAGCAAUGUUAUGGUACAAUCAGGAUUAGAAAGACCAUUUACCAAUGAAUAUGCAUUUGAAAUUAAAGUCAAGAUAGGUCAAGGGAUUCAGAAGUUAAGAGAUGGUUCUUACCUGCUCCAAGACAACACACAAAAUGAGCGUGUUGGGUAGAUUAAACCUUCUACUCAUUGCCAU